GUUGGUGACGCACGUGCGUCAUACUUCCGCGUCGCUCUCCUCGGUGUGUUGCUCUGCUACGCUACAGUUAGGGUGGUGGCUUUGCUGCCUCCGCACUCACUUUCACUGUUAUUUCGUUGCCGUUAUUUUAUUAUGUACUGAACGCUUGUAGAUCUUCGGUUGCCGUGUUAUCCUCCACCUUGCCGGUUGAACGGCGUGAAUGAGAAGCGAGUAACACUGAUAGCUGCUGCGGUUUGCAUGCUCAGAGCUGCCUCCUUCUGGGUCUACUAAAACUGCUUGAACGUUGCUGAGAGCCGAAGGUGGUGGCGCUGGUGUCCGGGUGGUGGUAUUCCCUUCCUGUGUGCUGUGUCUCCCCGUUUUCAUUUGCUGUGUCCACUGUUGUGUGUUUUUGUGUAUUCACGGGUGACUUUCCCUGGGAUCCCUCACUGCCCUCGUAUUCCCUUCUCCUCCACUGGUAAGCCUCAGCACAAUUAUUUUCUCCCCCUUUUGGUAAGAAUGUGUUUUAAA